rfam:Bacterium CSP1-6 XT13_C0003, whole genome shotgun sequence.
GGGGGUGACUGGCUUCGACGGGGAUCAACGAGGCGCAGGCGGCAUCUCGAGGUGCUCUUUCCUCGUAAAACCGAGAGCACGGUUAUAGCUGCCGACACUCAGCUAAGUCUGGCCGCCUAAGAACGGCUAGCGUCCCGCCGGGUUGAGCCAUCAGGGCCUGGGGUGGGGCGCCAUAUUCUGGUGGCUGGUCCUGAACCCGGCCUCGGGGUGAGGGGCGAGAUCUUUUGAGGCUGGCGGCCCGGGGAUCCUGUCGGCAGGAGCCUCGGGUGGCGAGACUGAAAAUACCGACUAUUGAUGUAGAAGCCUGCUGCUGAGGGUUUCCGGACGAGGGUUCGAUACCCUCCACCUCCACCA